rnacentral:rRNA from 1 species
UACGUAGGGUGCGAGCGUUGUCCGGAAUUAUUGGGCGUAAAGGGCUCGUAGGCGGCCAACUAAGUCAGACGUGAAAUCCCUCGGCUUAACCGGGGAACUGCGUCUGAUACUGGAUGGCUAGAGUUUGGGAGAGGGAUGCGGAAUUCCAGGUGUAGCGGUGAAAUGCGUAGAUAUCUGGAGGAACACCGGUGGCGAAGGCGGCAUCCUGGACCAACACUGACGCUGAGUGAGCGAAAGCCAGGGGAGCGAACGGG